rnacentral:lncRNA from 1 species
CAUAGAGCACAAUACCUUUGUUGAUGUGGGCACGUCAUAUUCUGUGCCAAUAUUUCACAUCUCUCACAAUUGAUACCAAAGUUCUUCAGAGAGACCUUUGGUGUCCUUGUAUAGUUUCUUCUGACCUCCUUUUGAGCUCUUGCCUUCUAUGAGUUCUCCAUAAAAUAGUAUGUGGCUAGGUUGUCAGAAUUGUACUCUCUGCAGUAGAAUCUGAAUGCUUGGCAGUUCAGCUUGAGAAAGACCUUGGUAUCUGGUUCCUUAUUUUGGCCAGGUGAUCUUCAGAAUUUUUCUGAGACAAUCCAAAUGGACAAUAUUCACUUUCUUGGCAUGACUUUGGUUUACCAUUUCAUAGGCAUGCAGAGUAAAGUCAGAACAAUGGCUAUAUAGAUCUUCAAUUGAAUAGGAAACCUAAUACCUCUUCUCUCCCACUCUUUCCUUCAGAGCCUCUCAAUCACUGAGCUAACUGGCAAUGCAUGCAACAACGUCAUCAUCCAUUUGUACAACCCUGGAAAGUAUAUUGCCAAGGAAAGUGAACUCAUCCACAGCAUUCAAAAUUCCUUUAUUUGCUAUUAUGAAUGGUUCCACAUAUGGAUGGACCUGUGAUUGUGAGGUUCACUUUGUGUGAACCAACCCUACCCUGGGAUAACCCUCAUAGGAGUGUGAAUCGAGAGGAAAGUGGGAGUGAGCUUAAUGAAGAAAUGAGCUUAAUGAGCAAGGACUCUGACCGAAACAAUAGCAUGCGAGGGAUGGCUUUUGGCAUUCAUUUGAACCUGCUGAAGUGAUUUCUAAGCCUUCAGGAGUUCUCUCUGGGAAAAGGAAGGAGGAGGGAAACUGAGAAAAAUGAUGAUCAUAUAAAAGCAAAAGGUAUCAGUAAGAUUUAUUUUUUUUAAUUAUUAAAAUUUUGUAUUGAUUGAGGGCUAUCAUUUUGAGCCUUACUUAUUGUACUAGGUUAUAAUACAAUGAUAAUCCCAGGAGCCAUUGAAGUUUAUAGGAUUUUUUGACCCUAUAUGAUGUGGUCCCAGACCUUUUUAUCAGUGG